UUAGCUUUUUAAUUGAAAGCUCGUAUGAAUGGUUGAACAAAAGAAAUACUGUCUCUUUUUUAUUUUUUGAAUUUAACUUUUAAGUGAAAAGGCUUAAAUUUUUCAAAGGGACGAUAAGACCCUAUAAAGCUUUAUAAAUAAAUAGUGAUUUUAUGAAUUAAGAAUAAAAAAAAUAUCUAUUUAUUUAUUAUGUUGGGGCGACACAGAUAUAAAUUAAAGCAACUAUCAGAGAAAAAAACAUAUUAUAAGUGAACAAGAUGGUCCUUAGUAAAGAUUAAAAGACAAAGUUACUUUAGGGAUAACAGCGUUAUUCUUUUUGAGAGUUCAUAUCGAAAAAAGAGUUUGCGACCUCGAUGUUGAAUCAUAAAAUCUUUAUAGUGCAGCAGCUGUAAGAG
rnacentral:rRNA from 1 species